CCCUGCGUAAAACGGGAGCCUUGUGCACUGGGUACGACCUUUUAGGUACAUGCGUACAUGCAUCAAGAUACAGGAGGACAUCUAGGCUUUCCGGCUGUCAAUUUGCUGUAUCAAAAUCACAGUUGUCUAGUUUAUCAUUAAAAAGCUUUACCAAGUGGCAAUUAGAUGCGUUGGAAUUGUUUUGUUGUUUUCUUUCUUUUGUGAUUUUGGUCUUUCUUUUUUGUCUUUCCCUAUAGAAUCCUAAAAAGUAAAGCAACUAGAGAAGAAGAAAUAUUUCAUUCCUAAAGAAAACCAAAAUCCACACAUUUAGAACAGGUUCCUAAUCAUAGUUAAACUUUGGUCUGAAGACUCUGAGAAUAGGGGAGUUGUAAACUUUUUCUUCAUGUUCCUAAUCAUAGUUAAACUUUGGUCUGAAGACUCUGAAUAUGUCCUGAUGACGGACAAAUACACGUGCUAACAACAAUAGGGCAUGUAACCGCUUACAAUUUGCUAAGGAUUCUGCGGGAUGACACAUAGAUUAGACUAAUCAGGCGAUACAAAUUUAAAUUGCCUAGCAAGGAUAAAACCAGAGGAACACUCUAAAUGCUUGCUUGAUAACACACCAAUUUCAUCUCGAUAAGUGACCUUAUCUUAUUUUCAUUAUAGGAGUCUUAAACAUAACCAAUUCAACUUUUUUUCAUUAAUAUAGAAGUUUACAAGCAAUCAUCACAUAAACUGGUGAGCAGUUUGAUCAGAAGGUGCAUAUUCAUAUUUAGCGUCGAAACUCAAAAAAUACAAAGGAUUCAGUUUCUAGCUGUUAACUCAUUAACUAACUAAAACAAAAGGUGAAUUCAAUAAAGUCGUACCCAGUGCACAAGGCUCCCGCUUUACGCAGGGUCUGGGAGAGGUGAAUGUCGGCUAGCCUUACCCCAUUUAUGGAGAGGCUGCUCCCAAGGUGAAUUCAAUGCAGAAAGAUAAUAAUCAAACUUACACAAAGCCAGCAACCAAGAGA
rnacentral:lncRNA from 1 species